CGCGCGAACCCGCUUUUUCUCCACGGGUCGAUGAAGCCCACUCGGCCCGGUGUUGGCGCGUCAUGCCCUAUCCCAAUCCUCCCCAAUCCAGCAGCCGCCGCGUCUCCCGCUCCCGCAGCCGUCGCUCCCGCUCCCCGCCGGUCGCUCCCGCUCCCCGCCGUCGGUCUCCUCGCCCGCCCUCGUCCCCGUCGCUGCACGCCGCCGCGCUAUGGGAGGAGCGGCUCGGCUGGGCAGGAACUUGUGUGUGGCGGCGCCUCUCCCGUCUCCAAUCCCGUCACUCCUCCUCCUCCUCCCCCAAUCCCGUCGCUCCUCCCUUGUCGGUCUCCACGUCGUUCUCCUCUCCGCCUCCCUGGACAACCACCGGCCAGCAGGAGCUGCGCAGCGCUAGCACAGGCAAGAGGGGCUGCUGGAGCUCCGCCCCCGACGGCGAUGGCGGACCGCCGCCCGCUCCGCCGCCCCUCUCCACCUAUUGUCGCUGCAGCUCGCUCCUCCGGCCGCCCUUCGGCCGUCGUCGUCGCCAGAUAUUCCUAUAGGUUCUUCCCCGUCUCUCUUGCCUCUGACUACUUUCCUGUCUUUUUCUCUCAUGGGAUCCCCAUAUUCCUACAGCCACCAGAGGGUACCACUGGUCAUCAAAGAACGAUUUGGUGCAGUGUUGAUAAGAAAACUGGACCAGUAAGGAUGCAAAUCCAUGUGAUGAGGACUGAUGAUUGCGGAACAUCGGCAAGUCCACAGGUCUCGGUGGACGGGCCUCGCCGGUUUCGUUAAGGAGAGCUGACAAGAAGAAGGUUGCGACAUGUUUUUUUUAUCUGCAUUUAUGUAGCACAGGCAGGAGGACCGUGGAAUCAGCUCGAGCUGCUGUGUUUGGGGCCUCUGAUGUGCUGCUGCCACCCGGAGUCGACUUGCUGCUCAAAGCCAAUGCCCAAAAAGCGUUUUUAGAAGGAGAAGGAUCAUCCAAAAAAUGGAUGUACUAAAGUGGAUUCCGUGGUUCAGCAAAACUGAUGCCCUUGCUGGAUAUGCAUUCAUUGAUGGAUCUUACAUGAUGUCCUGGCUAGAUAGCUGAGAUUGAUUGUGCUUGAAUUGAAGAGUGAUGCCUUGAAGCUAGAUGGUAUCUGGUCUACAUCUAUUUUCCAGAUUAUCCCAAGCUAUUGCUUUUAUCCUCGAACUUGACUUAGCAUUAAUUCAGUUGGAAGAACAAAAUGGCCAGGGACAAACAAUAUAAAGGUUCUGUUGUGCUUGCUUAGCUGACUAAAAUUCUGGAAAACUAGAGUGUAUAAUCUACAGAACCUGUCUCUCUAAGAGGACCAAGAAGAUGGUAAUGGCGAGUAAGAAGAUUAUUUACGAAGAAACAACAAAAAAUCAUAUUCUUAUACAUUUGGAGAAAAAGAGGAAGCAUUACUUAUGUUAGAUGAAACACCGAGGUUCAUGAGUAGUUUUUUUUUGUAUUGAACUUGAAUUAACCUCAUAUUUGGUUGACACAAAUAACUUCUGGUUAUUUUUUCAUUUUGUUUGCAGUAGAGCUAGCUCUUGGUGAUGCAAGUUUCUUGCGGCCUUCUUUUGCUCUCCAUGCAGAUAGAAUUCAUCCGAGCUACUUCCCUGUGCUCACAUGUUUUUCUACCAUUAGCUAUGCUUGGAGGAUCCUGCUAGCAGUUAGACCUUGGCUAGAUUUCCAUAGAAUGUACACAACAAUUUUAUCGGCUAUGUUAUACAACAGGCUUAGAAGAAUAUUAAUAUUAGCUUAACCAGUACCUA